GCCAGACUCCUACGGGAGGCAGCAGUCGGGAAUAUUGCGCAAUGGAGGAAACUCUGACGCAGUGACGCCGCGUAUAGGAAGAAGGUUUUCGGAUUGUAAACUAUUGUCGUUAGGGAAGAGAAAGGACAGUACCUAAGGAGGAAGCUCCGGCUAACUACGUGCCAGCAGCCGCGGUAAUACGUAGGGAGCAAGCGUUAUCCGGAAUUAUUGGGUGUAAAGGGUGCGUAGACGGGAAAACAAGUUAGUUGUGAAAUCCCUCGGCUUAACUGAGGAACUGCAACUAAAACUAUUUUUCUUGAGUGCAGGAGAGGUAAGUGGAAUUCCUAGUGUAGCGGUGAAAUGCGUAGAUAUCAGGAGGAACACCGGUGGCGAAGGCGGCCUGCUGGACUGCGACUGACGUUGAGGCCCGAAAGCGUGGGGAUCAAACAGGAUUAGAUACCCGAGUAC
rnacentral:rRNA from 1 species